UGUAGUAGGAUUAAGAGGUUACUACUGGGGUCCCACACAACAUGAGAAGCUCAUUCUUUCGGAUUAUAUAUCUCCUGGAAGUCUUGCAAGUUUCCUCUAUGAUCGGCCUGGUAGAAAAGGUCCACCACUAACCUGGCCCCAAAGACUCAAAAUAUCAGUUGAUGUUGCACGUGGCUUGAACUAUCUCCAUUUUGAUCGGGAGGUUCCACAUGGAAAUCUUAAAGCAACCAACAUCUUGUUGGAUGGGCCUGACCUUAAUGCAAGGGUUGCAGAUUACUGCCUUCACCGCCUCAUGACUCAAGCCGGCACAAUAGAACAGAUUCUUGAUGCAGGAGUUUUGGGUUAUCGUGCCCCUGAGUUGGCUGCAUCAAAGAAACCACUGCCUUCCUUCAAAUCAGAUGUAUAUGCUUUUGGAGUUAUUUUGUUGGAGCUGCUUAGUGGAAAAUGUGCAGGUGAUGUUGUCUCUGGCGAAGAUGGCGGAGUAGACUUGACUGACUGGGUAAGGUUGAAGGUGGCAGAAGGUCGUAGCUCUGAUUGUUUUGAUAACGUUUUGUCACCUGAGUUGGAAAAUCCAGCAAUGGAGAAGCAAAUGAAGGAGGUUCUUGGUAUAGCUGUGCGAUGCAUUCGUUCUAUAUCUGAGAGACCUGGUAUCAAGACUAUAUAUGAGGACCUUUCGUCUAUAUAGUUUGUACUCAUCUGGUUUUGCUCUACUUUGGGAAUCAAAUAGCUCAUUGACUUCCCUUUUGAGUAGUAGGAUUAGCACAGUUAGUGUGUGAA
rnacentral:misc_RNA from 1 species